AAGACUAUAGACCUGCGGAGUACCUGCGGAAGGAUCAUUACAGAGUUACUACUCCAAACCCAUUGUGAACCUUACCUAUGUUCUGUUGCCUCGGCGGCGCGGUCAGCGCCCCUCUGAAAAGAGGACGAUGCCCUCCCGCCGGCAGCACCAAACUCUUGAAUUUUACAGCGGAUUACAGUUCUGAUUUAAAAACAAAAAAAACAAGUUAAAACUUUCAACAAUGGAUCUCUAGAUCGGAAG
rnacentral:misc_RNA from 1 species